CGAGUUUGAUCCUGGCUCAGAAUGAACGCUUGUAACAUGCUUUACACAUGCAAGUCGAAUGGUCUUCAUUUAUGAAUAAACCAUGGCGAACGGGUGAGUAAUACUUGGGAAUUUGCCUUAUAGUUUGGAAUAACUAAUUUAUUUAGGAAUACCAAAUACUGAAAGAAGUUGCUUUUAUAAGCUUAAAUCUUCGCUAUAAGAUAAGCCUGAGCAAGAUUAGGUAGUUGGUAGGGUAAUAGCCUACCAAGCCGAAGAUCUUUAGUUGGUCUGAGAGGACGACCGGCCACACUGGGACUGAGACACGGCCCAGACUCCCUAGGGAGGCAGCAGUGAGGAAUAUUGGACAAUGGGCGAAAGCCUGAUCCAGCAAUGUUACGUGGGUGAUUAAGGCUAUUUUGGUCGUAAAACCCUUUCAGUGGAAAUGAUAAUGACAGUAUCCACAGAAGAAGUCCCGGCUAAUUCGGUGCCAGCAGCCGCGGUAAUACCGGAGGGGCGAGCGUUAUUCGGAAUGAUUGGGCGUAAAGGGUCCGUAGGCGGUUUUUUAAGUUGUUUCUAUAAUUUUAGGGCAUAACUCUAAACUUGAAACAAAACUGAAAAACUAGAAUUUGAUAGAGGAUAGUGGAAUUCCUAGUGGAAGGAUAAAAUCUCUAGAUAUUAGGAGGAACAUCAGAGGCGAAGGCGACUAUCUGGAUCAAUAUUGACGCUAAAGGACGAAAGUAUGGGUAUCAAAUGGGAUUAGAGACCCCAGUAGUCCAUACCGUAAACGAUGAGUGUUAAACGUUCGGAAAUCCAUGUUGCAAAAUUUUAUUUAAUUAUAAAGUUUAUUAAUGCAACUAUUUUAUACAAUUCUUUUACAGAAAAUUUAUUAAAUUUUGAUUGAGAUGUGGUUAUUAAUAUCAAUUGAAUUUUCUUUUUAAGUUAAGUAUGCAAGUAAACAAUUUUUAAUUGUAAUUCAACCUAUUUUAAAUUUAUAUUGUCUUUGACAAUUCUGGAAAUCUGAGUGUUACAGCUAACGCGGUAAACACUCCGCCUGGGGAGUACAGUCGCAAGACCGAAACUCAAAGGAAUUGACGGGGGCUCACACAAGCGGUGGAGUAUGUGGUUUAAUUCGAUAAUACGCGCAAAACCUUACCAGUCCUUGACAUCUAUUAUUGUAUUUGAAAUUAAAGUUUUAAAAUAUUAAAAUAGACAGGUAUUGCAUGGCUGUCGUCAGCUCGUGUCGUGAGAUGUUUGGUUAAGUCCUGUAACGAGCGAAACCCCUAAAAUUAAAGUUUGUACUUAAAUUCAAUUGCAGAAUUUAUUAUAAAUUUAAUUUUUACUGCCGAUGAUAAAUCGGAGGAAGGUAGGGAUGACGUCAAGUCUUCAUGGUCCUUAUGGACUGGGCUACACACAUGCUACAAUGGUAAUGACAAUUAGAAGCAAAAGAGCAAUCUGGAGCAAUACUAUAAACAUUACCUUAGUUCAGAUUGUAGGCUGCAACUCGCCUACAUGAAGUUGGAAUCGCUAGUAAUCGUAGAUCAGCACGCUACGGUGAAUAUGUACCUGAGCCUUGUACACACCGCCCGUCACAUUCUGGGAGUUGAUUUCAUUUGAAGCUUAUAUCCUAACCUUUUUAAGGAGGGAAUUUGUAAGACUGAAAGCAAUGACUGGAAUGAAGUCGUAACAAGGUAGCCGUAGGGGAACCUGUGGCUG
rnacentral:rRNA from 1 species